UGGGAGUGCUACAUCUGAAAUGAGUAUGGUUGCAUUCCCCAGGGUGUGCUGGCAUCACCACCUUAAUGGGAGAUUAUGACACUUUUGCCUGCACCCACAUAGAAGCUGCACAAUUGAUGUUUCUAACUGUUUCUUCUUGACCUGCAUACAGGUUUCCCAGGAGACAGGUAAGAUGGUCUGGUAUUCCCAUCUCUUUAAGAGUUUUCCACAGUUUGUUAUGACCACACCACCAAAGGCUUUUGCUUAGUCA